ensembl:lncRNA
AUUUCUCGACUUGUCGUGACACUCUCCAAACCACACAGCAGGAUGGAGAAACAGAAGAGCAGGUUAGGACGUCAGUUCUCAUUUAUUUCUGACGGUCUCUCGGUUUGACGAACUUGUCAACACCAAAAGUAGGCCAUGUUUAUCAGUAAGAGUGUGCUCAUUCAAGAGUGAGUCCAGUGACUGUAAAAGAAUAAUUCUGCUCUAGAUGCUAUCCAGGCCCACUGUGUUUUAUUUGUUUGGUUUGUUUGGUUGUUGUAACAGCUCUGUUAAAUUCUAGAUUCUGAUCAGGAGGUGUUGAUUAAGUAAGGAAUAACGCACAAGAGGCUGUGCUAUUACACGAAAUUACAGCAUUAUAAUUAUUAUUAUUGUGGUCUGUGUGGUCUAAUGCCCCAGUAUAGUGAAGUGGACACUAUGCUGUAAAAACAGCACCGUCUUUCGGAUGAGACGUUAAACUGAGGUCCUGACUCUCUGUGGUCGUUAAAAAUCCAGGACACUUCUCGUAAACGGGUAGGGGUAUAACCUCGAAAUUCCCCCAUUGACCCUUCUCUAUCAUGGCCCCCUAAUAAUCCCCAUCUCUGAAUUGGCUACUUAACUCCCUCCUCUCCACUAAUAGCUGGUGUGUGGUGUAUGUUCUGGCGCACUAUGGCUGCCGUCGCAUGAUCCACAUGGAUGCUACACUCUGGCAGCGGUUGAGGAGGACCCCCCGCCCCCCAUAUACAGCUAGGCUCAAACAUGUUCAAGCCAACCAGGACAGCCAGAAACCUUGGCGUGAUUUUCGAUGACCACUUGAAAUGAUCUUGUGAUCUUGCAGCUCUCACUUCAAUAACUACACAUUCCUGUAGGUUCUUUCUGUAUAACAUCAAGAAAAUCAGACCGUAUCUAACUGAGCAUGCCACACAGCUACUAGUCCAGGCUCUCGUGCUCGCAAAACUGGACUACUGCAACUCUCUACUCUCAGGCAUUGCAGCCAGCUCCAUCAAACCCCUUCAGAUGAUUCAAAAUGCAGCAGCACGCCUCGUCUUCAACCAGCCCAAAUGAACUCAUGUCAAAGCCCUCUUCAUCUCCCUCCACUGGCUUCCUGUAUCUGCCCGUAUCAAAUUCAAGGCCUUGAUGCUCACGUACAAGACCUUGUCUCGAACAGCACCGCUCUACCUCAACACUCUCCUUGAGGUAUUUGUUACCUCUCACAACCUGCGAUCAGAUAAGGACCGACGCCUGGUAUAGUCCCUACACAAUCAAGGUUGGAGAAGAUGUGCAGUACGCUGCGGUGAAUUUCUCAAGAGAAAAAACAAAAAGAAAGACCACCGAGACCGAGAAUAAAGAAAUUCUUUACUCCAGUGUGGCAAACUUCGGCUUGGAGUGAUGCUCUCUUCUCUCUAUCCUCUUUAAACGUACAGUGAAUAUCACAUUUUAUUUACAACAAGAAAUAUUUAACAGUUAUCUUAACUGAUUUUGCCGUAUUUAUUAUAGAACCGUAAACACAUAGGGGAAGUGUAGCGGUUAAGGCUCUGGGUUAUUGAUCAGAAGGUCAGGGGUUCAAGCCCCAGAACUGCCAAGCUGCCACUGUUGGGCCCUUGAGCAAGGCCCUUAACCCUCUCUGCUCCAGGGGCACUGUAUCAUGGCUGAUUCUGCACUCUGACCCCAGCUUCCUGACAGGCUGGGGUAAGCAAAGAAAACAAUUUCACUGUGCUCUACUGUAUAUGUGUCCAUUAAAGACUCAUUAUGUAACAUAAUGUGUAAGGUUUAUUUAAAAGUUUCAGUUUUGAGAUUUUUUUUUGGAAAUCGUAGUUAAAUGUAUAAUAUUUAUGUGAUAUAUGUAUAAGCUGUAGAUCUGCCUUUAUAUUAUAAAACCUUGUUGUGAAUGAUGCAGUUGCAGUGACGACACAUUUGUCAUUUUAUUCAACACCCAAUUUAUUUACUUAAAACUUACUAAAAUCUUAUGAACUUAAACCAGAU